CCUACGGGUGACAGCAGUGAGGAAUCUUGGUCAAUGGGCGCGAGCCUGAACCAGCCAAGUAGCGUGAAGGAUGACUGCCCUACGGGUUGUAAACUUCUUUUAUAAAGGAAUAAAGUGAGGCACGUGUGCCUUUUUGUAUGUACUUUAUGAAUAAGGAUCGGCUAACUCCGUGCCAGCAGCCGCGGUAAUACGGAGGAACCGAGCGUUAUCCGGAUUUAUUGGGUUUAAAGGGAGCGUAGAUGGGUUGUUAAGUCAGUUGUGAAAGUGUGCGGCUCAACCUUAAAAGUGCAAUUGAAACUGGCAGCCUUGAGUACAGUUGAGGUAGGCGGAAUUCGUGGUGUAGCGGUGAAAUGCUUAGAUAUCACGAAGAACUCCGAUUGCGAAGGCAGCUUACUAAACUGCCACUGACAUUGAUGCUCGAAAGUGUGGGUAUCAAACAGGAUUAGAUACCCCAGUAGUC
rnacentral:rRNA from 1 species